rnacentral:rRNA from 1 species
CGGCGGACGGGUGAGUAACGCGUGGGUAACCUACCCUGUACACACGGAUAACAUACCGAAAGGUAUGCUAAUACGGGAUAAUAUAUUUGAGAGGCAUCUCUUGAAUAUCAAAGGUGAGCCAGUACAGGAUGGACCCGCGUCUGAUUAGCUAGUUGGUAAGGUAACGGCUUACCGAGGCGACGAUCAGUAGCCGACCUGAGAGGGUGAUCGGCCACAUUGGAACUGAGACACGGUCCAA